rnacentral:rRNA from 1 species
CCUACGGGGAGCAGCAGUGAGGAAUAUUGGUCAAUGGGCGUAAGCCUGAACCAGCCAAGUCGCGUGAGGGAUGAAGGUUCUAUGGAUCGUAAACCUCUUUUAUAAGGGAAUAAAGUGUGGGACGUGUCCUGUUUUGUAUGUACCUUAUGAAUAAGGAUCGGCUAACUCCGUGCCAGCAGCCGCGGUAAUACGGAGGAUCCGAGCGUUAUCCGGAUUUAUUGGGUUUAAAGGGUGCGUAGGCGGCCUUUUAAGUCAGCGGUGAAAGUCUGUGGCUCAACCAUAGAAUUGCCGUUGAAACUGGGAGGCUUGAGUAUGUUUGAGGCAGGCGGAAUGCGUGGUGUAGCGGUGAAAUGCUUAGAUAGCACGCAGAACCCCGAUUGCGAAGGCAGCCUGCCAAGCCAUGACUGACGCUGAUGCACGAAAGCGUGGGGAUCAAACAGGAUUAGAUACCCGGGUAGUC